AUUGAACGCUGGCGGCAGGCCUAACACAUGCAAGUCGAGCGGCAGCGACUUAACUGAACCUUCGGGGAACGUUAAGGGCGGCGAGCGGCGGACGGGUGAGUAAUGCCUGGGAAUAUGCCCUGAUGUGGGGGAUAACUAUUGGAAACGAUAGCUAAUACCGCAUAAUCUCUUCGGAGCAAAGAGGGGGACCUUCGGGCCUCUCGCGUCAGGAUUAGCCCAGGUGGGAUUAGCUUGUUGGUGAGGUAAUGGCUCACCAAGGCAACGAUCCCUAGCUGGUCUGAGAGGAUGAUCAGCCACACUGGAACUGAGACACGGUCCAGACUCCUACGGGAGGCAGCAGUGGGGAAUAUUGCACAAUGGGGGAAACCCUGAUGCAGCCAUGCCGCGUGUGUGAAGAAGGCCUUCGGGUUGUAAAGCACUUUCAGUAGGGAGGAAGGUAGUGUAGUUAACACCUGCAUUAUUUGACGUUACCUACAGAAGAAGCACCGGCUAACUCCGUGCCAGCAGCCGCGGUAAUACGGAGGGUGCGAGCGUUAAUCGGAAUUACUGGGCGUAAAGCGCAUGCAGGCGGCCUGUUAAGUCAGAUGUGAAAGCCCGGGGCUUAACCUCGGAAUUGCAUUUGAAACUGGCAGGCUAGAGUCUUGUAGAGGGGGGUAGAAUUUCAGGUGUAGCGGUGAAAUGCGUAGAGAUCUGAAGGAAUACCAGUGGCGAAGGCGGCCCCCUGGACAAAGACUGACGCUCAGAUGCGAAAGCGUGGGGAACAAACAGG
rnacentral:rRNA from 1 species